rnacentral:rRNA from 1 species
GAUGAACGCUGGCUACAGGCUUAACACAUGCAAGUCGAGGGGAAACGACGGGGAAGCUUGCUUCCCCGGGCGUCGACCGGCGCACGGGUGAGUAACGUGUAUCCAACCUGCCUCUGACUGAGGGAUAACCCGUCGAAAGUCGGCCUAAUACCUCAUGGCAUCGUCUGCGGGCAUCCAACGACGAUUAAAGAUUUCAUCGGUCAGGGAUGGGGAUGCGUCUGAUUAGCUUGUUGGCGGGGUAACGGCCCACCAAGGCUACGAUCAGUAGGGGUUCUGAGAGGAAGGUCCCCGACAUUGGAACUGAGACACGGUCCAAACUCCUACGGGAGGCAGCAGUGAGGAAUAUUGGUCAAUGGGCGGGAGCCUGAACCAGCCAAGUAGCGUGCAGGAUGACGGCCCUAUGGGUUGUAAACUGCUUUUAUGCGGGGAUAAAGUGAGGGACGUGUCCUUCAUUGCAGGUACCGCAUGAAUAAGGACCGGCUAAUUCCGUG